UACAGAGGGGGCAAGCGUUAUUCGGAAUUAUUGGGCGUAAAGGGCGCGUAGGCGCCUGGCAAGUGGAAGGUGAAAUCCCUCGGCUUAACCGAGGAACUGCCUUCCAAACUGCUUGGCUUGAGUCCGGGAGAGGUGAGUGGAAUUCCCAGUGUAGCGGUGAAAUGCGUAGAUAUUGGGAGGAACACCAGUGGCGAAGGCGGCUCACUGGACCGGAACUGACGCUGAUGCGCGAAAGCGUGGGGAGCAAACGGG
rnacentral:rRNA from 1 species